GCCUGGGUGGCUCAGUCAGUUGGGCGUCUGACUUUGGCUCAAGUCAUGACCUCAAUAGCUUGUGGGUUCAAGCCCCACAUCAGGCU
rnacentral:tRNA from 1 species